UACGAAGGGGGCUAGCGUUGCUCGGAAUCACUGGGCGUAAAGCGCACGUAGGCGGAUUGUUAAGUCAGGGGUGAAAUCCUGGAGCUCAACUCCAGAACUGCCUUUGAUACUGGCGAUCUUGAGUCCGGGAGAGGUGAGUGGAACUGCGAGUGUAGAGGUGAAAUUCGUAGAUAUUCGCAAGAACACCAGUGGCGAAGGCGGCUCACCUGGCCCGGUACUGACGCUGAGGUGCGAAAGCGGUGGGAGCAAACA
rnacentral:rRNA from 1 species